UAAUUAUUUACUCAAUCAUCGAUCAAAUUUCUCCUUUAAUUCAACUCACAGGAAAACCGCAGCCUUUUUAUCACCGGAGCACAUUUCUUCUCCUUUUCUCUCUUCUCAGAACAAACUUUGACUUCAAUCAAAUUUCAACGGACAAGAAUUUGCUCUGCAAAAGAACAGAAAUUUCCUUUUUUGGGUUUUGGAAAUUGUGGGAUUUUGAUCUGGGGUUUUAGAAGAGAAGCAGAAUGGGAUGUGCAGGAUCGACGCCGGCCAAAGGAGACGGGAAUGUGAAAAAGAUCCGGAAGCCAAAACCUUGGAAACAUCCUCAGCCGAUAACAAAGUCUCAACUUGUGCAGAUGCGUGAAGAGUUUUGGGACACUGCACCUCAUUAUGGUGGAAGGAAAGAGAUCUGGGAUGCACUUCGAGCUGUUGCUGAAGCUGAUUUAACCCUUGCUCAAGCUAUUGUGGAUAGUGCAGGGGUCAUAGUGCAAUCUGCUGAUUUAACUGUCUGCUACGACGAAAGAGGUGCCAAGUAUGAACUACCGAAGUAUGUUUUGAGUGAGCCAACCAACUUGAUCCGAGAGAGUUGAAGAUAGAGAGAAUACAGAAUGCAAUGCAUGCAGAGGUUGAAUGUAAAUCAUGUUGCUGUAAGUUUCUCUGAUGAAAACGAUAACAUUGGUUUGAAUCAAGAAAGAUGUCACAGUUUUCCUCUGGGCAUUGAUGGC